AUUGAACGCUGGCGGCAGGCCUAACACAUGCAAGUCGAGCGGGGUUUUCGGACCUAGCGGCGGACGGGUGAGUAAUGCGUAGGAAGCUACCCGAUAGAGGGGGAUACCAGUUGGAAACGACUGUUAAUACCGCAUAAUGUCUACGGACCAAAGUGUGGGACCUUCGGGCCACAUGCUAUCGGAUGCGCCUACGUGGGAUUAGCUAGUUGGUGAGGUAAUGGCUUACCAAGGCGUCGAUCCCUAGCUGGUUUGAGAGGAUGAUCAGCCACACUGGAACUGAGACACGGUCCAGACUCCUACGGGAGGCAGCAGUGGGGAAUAUUGGACAAUGGGCGCAAGCCUGAUCCAGCCAUGCCGCGUGUGUGAAGAAGGCCUUCGGGUUGUAAAGCACUUUCAGUAGGGAGGAAGCGUUGUGUGUUAAUAGUACACAGCGUUGACGUUACCUACAGAAGAAGCACCGGCUAACUCUGUGCCAGCAGCCGCAGUAAUAC
rnacentral:rRNA from 1 species